UACGUAGGGGGGCAACGUUGUCCGGAUUUAUUGGGCGUAAAGAGCGUGUAGGCGGCCUGACAAGUCUGCUGUGAAAACUCGAGGCUCAACCUCGAGAUGUCGGCGGAAACUGUCUGGCUAGAGUCCGGAAGAGGAGAGUGGAAUUCCUGGUGUAGCGGUGAAAUGCGCAGAUAUCAGGAAGAACACCUAUGGCGAAGGCAGCUCUCUGGGACGGUACUGACGCUGAGACGCGAAAGC
rnacentral:rRNA from 1 species